AGUGAACGCUGGCGGUAGGCCUAACACAUGCAAGUCGAACGGCAGCACAGUAAGAGCUUGCUCUUACGGGUGGCGAGUGGCGGACGGGUGAGGAAUACAUCGGAAUCUACUUUUUCGUGGGGGAUAACGUAGGGAAACUUACGCUAAUACCGCAUACGACCUACGGGUGAAAGCAGGGGAUCUUCGGACCUUGCGCGAUUGAAUGAGCCGAUGUCGGAUUAGCUAGUUGGCGGGGUAAAGGCCCACCAAGGCGACGAUCCGUAGCUGGUCUGAGAGGAUGAUCAGCCACACUGGAACUGAGACACGGUCCAGACUCCUUCGGGAGGCAGCAGUUGGGAAUAUUGGCCAAAGGGCGCAAGCCUGAUCCAGCCAUACCGCGUGGGUGAAGAAGGCCUUCGGGUUGUAAAGCCCUUUUGUUGGGAAAGAAAAGCAGCAGGUUAAUACCCCGCUGUUCUGACGGUACCCAAAGAAUAAGCACCGGCUAACUUCGUG
rnacentral:rRNA from 1 species